rnacentral:lncRNA from 1 species
GAGGGAGGGAGGGAGACAGGACAGGGAGGUGGGGAGCCACUUCCAUCCCUCUCUGGUUUCCUCUCCCCAUCCUCCCCGCUCCUCUCUGACCAUCCUAAGGGGCCCUCAAUGCUGUACAGGUUACAGAGUCCCCCUUUCUCCCUAUGACCCCUGCUCUGGCAUUAAGAUGUGGGGAUGAGAGAGGGAGAGCAGGGCCCUUUCCCUGCCCCCCCAGAGCUGGCCCUGCUGGGGGUUCAGGCGCCUGUCUCUAGAGCAGGCUCUGGUAGCCUGGGCAGCUGCUUUCAGAGAGGGCUUUGUGCAAGUGGCCUCAUGCUUUCUCUUCCUGGGGGGGAAGCACCACCAGAAGGAAGCCUGGCCUGGGAGUCCCAGAAUGAAGCCAAACUCCAUCACCCCUCUCUCACGCCAAUCCCUACCUGCCAAACACCCCCUCAACUUUCUCCACAGAAUUAGCCAAUUAGAAAAAGCUUCUCUUCCCAGGGCCUGUAGAGAGGCAGUGCCAAGUGGGGUGGGCUGUGUUGGGACAAGGGACAAAGAUGCGAGGCUGAGUCCAGCCCCUGCUGUGGGGUGGCUGUGAACCUUUGGGUGAGUUUCGUUCGAAGCUUUGGACCUGAGUUUCUGCCUGUGAUGAGCAAGCUCGCGCCUGCCUCACCAGCCCAUAAGCAGGAUGGGUAGGAAGAUGGGAUUUCGCCAGGUUGCCCAUGCUGGUCUUGAACUCCUGGACUCAAGUGAUCCACCUGCCCUGGCCUCCCAAAGUGCUGGGAUUACAGACUAUAUAUUGCUAAAGAAAGAAAAAGCACCAAUGGCUGAAGCUAGAGAGACUUUGCUGAGGAAGAGGGAACCUAAAAUGGGAAAUAGCGGCCUGGUAAAGAGGUGUGGCCAGAGGACAGCAUGGAGCAGAGCCAGGAGAAACUGCUCUGGGUGAAGACUGGAGGCGGAUUAUAAGUGAGUGAUGAGAAGAAGUAAGGGCAGUAAUGUACUCAUCCUCGCAGCAAGGCCCAGGGCCAGUGGUGGCCACCUCACCAGGUAAUCCCUGCAAUGUGGAUCCAGCUGGGGACGGAACACCUGGCUUCCCUCACCCCUGUGCAUUUCCUAUGCCUGGGUCUCCCGCCUUCGCAUCAGCUCUGAGCGCUGCUCAAGAGCCUUCCG